UUUGGUCAUGGCUCCGGCGGNGGAANNGNGCUUGCUGGGGAUUCNGCGGCGGACGGGUGAGUAAUGCCUAGGAAUCUGCCUGGUAGUGGGGGAUAACGUCCGGAAACGGCGCUAAUACCGCAUACGUCCUGAGGGAGAAAGUGGGGGAUCUUCGGACCUCACGCUAUCAGAUGAGCCUAGGUCGGAUUAGCUAGUUGGUGGGGUAAAGGCCUACCAAGGCGACGAUCCGUAACUGGUCUGAGAGGAUGAUCAGUCACACUGGAACUGAGACACGGUCCAGACUCUACGGGAGGCAGCAGUGGGGAAUAUUGGACAAUGGGCGAAAGCCUGAUCCAGCCAUGCCGCGUGUGUGAAGAAGGUCUUCGGAUUGUAAAGCACUUUAAGUUGGGAGGAAGGGCAGUAAGUUAAUACCUUGCUGUUUUGACGUUACCUACAGAAUAAGCACCGGCUAACUUCGUGCCAGCAGCCGCGGUAAUACGAAGGGUGCAAGCGUUAAUCGGAAUUACUGGGCGUAAAGCGCGNGUAGGUGGUUCUGCAAGUUGGAUGUGAAAUCCCCGGGCUCUACCUGGGAACUGCAU
rnacentral:rRNA from 1 species